rnacentral:rRNA from 1 species
GAUGAACGCUAGCUACAGGCUUAACACAUGCAAGUCGAGGGGAAACGACAUCGAAAGCUUGCUUUUGGUGGGCGUCGACCGGCGCACGGGUGAGUAACGCGUAUCCAACCUGCCCACCACUUGGGGAUAACCUUGCGAAGGUAAGACUAAUACCCAAUGAUAUCCCACGAAGGCAUCCGAAUGGGAUUAAAGAUUUAUCGGUGAUGGAUGGGGAUGCGUCUGAUUAGCUUGUUGGCGGGGUAACGGCCCACCAAGGCAACGAUCAGUAGGGGUUCUGAGAGGAAGGUCCCCCCACAUUGGAACUGAGACACGGUCCAAACUCCUACGGGAGGCAGCAGUGAGGAAUAUUGGUCAAUGGGCGAGAGCCUGAACCAGCCAAGUAGCGUGCAGGAUGACGGCCCUAUGGGUUGUAAACUGCUUUUAUAGGGAAUAAAGUGGGUCUCGUGAGACUUUUUGCAUGUACCUUAUGAAUAAGGACCGGCUAAUUCCGUG